rfam:Trichomalopsis sarcophagae strain Alberta scaffold7595, whole genome shotgun sequence.
UAAUCAGUCCUUUUAAGGACUACAAAAUUAUUAAACGUAGAUAUA